UACGUAGGCAGCGAGCGUUUGUUCGGAGUUACUGGGCGUAAAGAGUGCGUAGGCGGUGUUCCAAGUCUGGUGUGAAAUCUCCCGGCUCAACUGGGAGGGUGCGCCGAAAACUGCAAGGCUGGAGUAUGGGAGAGGUAGGCGGAAUUCCUGGUGUAGCGGUGGAAUGCGCAGAUAUCAGGAGGAACACCGGUGGCGAAGGCGGGAUCCUGGGCCAGUACUGACGCUGAGGAGCGAAAGCGUGGGGAGCAAACAGG
rnacentral:rRNA from 1 species